GAUUUAAUAAUUUAAAAAAAAUAUUGGUCUUGUAAACCAAACUUGAGUUCCACUUUUAAAUCU
rnacentral:tRNA from 1 species